CAGAGGUGCAGCUUUUCCACGCAUGGUAGAAAAAGAGUUAGCUGGCACAGAGGCAAUUCAUCAAGCCCCAAGGAAUAGGAUGGGUAUAUGCCCAUUCUGUAGGAAUGGAGGCUUUUCUUUGUCCUGUAUCUUUUCCUUACAGGUGGACA